rnacentral:rRNA from 1 species
ACCGGCGCGUCUAACCGUGCAGCGGUAAUUGGGCGCCUUGGGUGAGAAGUGGAUGACGCUCUAGUAAUGUCUGGGAAACUGCCCGAUGGAGGGGGAUAACUACUGGAAACGGUAGCUAAUACCGCAUAACGUCGCAAGACCAAAGAGGGGGACCUUCGGGCCUCUUGCCAUCGGAUGUGCCCAGAUGGGAUUAGCUAGUAGGUGGGGUAACGGCUCACCUAGGCGACGAUCCCUAGCUGGUCUGAGAGGAUGACCAGCCACACUGGAACUGAGACACGGUCCAGACUCCUACGGGAGGCAGCAGUGGGGAAUAUUGCACAAUGGGCGCAAGCCUGAUGCAGCCAUGCCGCGUGUAUGAAGAAGGCCUUCGGGUUGUAAAGUACUUUCAGCGAGGAGGAAGGUGUUGUGGUUAAUAACCGCAGCAAUUGACGUUACUCGCAGAAGAAGCACCGGCUAACUCCGUGCCAGCAGCCGCGGUAAUACGGAGGGUGCAAGCGUUAAUCGGAAUUACUGGGCGUAAAGCGCACGCAGGCGGUCUGUCAAGUCGGAUGUGAAAUCCCCGGGCUCACCUGGGAACUGCAUCCGAAACUGGCAGGCUAGAGUCUUGUAGAGGGGGGUAGAAUUCCAGGUGUAGCGGUGAAAUGCGUAGAGAUCUGGAGGA